rnacentral:lncRNA from 1 species
GUUAAAUGGACUACACUUCCGGUUACAGUGGCCGUCCACUUGGUCCAGAUGCAUGGUUUCCCAGACAGACCCAGCAGGUCCCGCUCUUGGGCAGAGGCUGUGAGUGACCCCAGGGGUUCACAGGCAGGAAACUGGGUCUUUCCCAACUGUGAGCCAUUAUAGAUAAGAACCGGAUGAAUAUCUUUCUGGUAAAUCCUUCUGUAUCCCUGAAGAUUUCACUGUUAUCUUCACAGCUUCAAAUGACUACUCAAUUAUAGGCUGGAGGAACAAGAGCCCUGCUGCGCUGCGGGUCACUCUGACCUUGGAAAAUAUCUCACUCAACUUCCUUGAGGACUGGGAGGCACUGUCAAUUACUACAGUGAUGCAAGUUUUCACAGCACUAAACGAUGACUCAGAACCAGCUACGGGAACAUUAAACAAGCCCAAAGCCAUACUAGGACCCGGGACACACCCCCAAAAGAUGCCCUUCAAAUCAGACUAAGGCUCCUCUACCCAGGAGCCUGCACCACCAGCCCUGCGGAGCUCCAGCCCCAUCUCAGUGAGCUGAUGACCCCAAAGUUCAAGGUCUCCGUGGCGUGGACCUGCAGGCUCAGCAGCCCUGGACAGCCCUCUGGACAGGGGCAAAGGACAGAAACUGCAGCCAGUCCAGUCUCCAGAGGGCAGCAGGCCAGGCAGGCUGGGAGCACUGGCCAGGCACAGACCCCAGCAGGGACCUCAGCUCCCAGUGGCCAGUUUCUCCGUCCACCGUUUCUCUCACCUGAGCUCAACCGAAAAUGUGAAGUGGAAAUGCCAGAAAAAAAUCCUCUCCCAUCUCUGAUCCAUCUGGAAAACAUCUGGUUCCCGGGUACGGCAGGAUGCAGCGUCCCUGUCCCAGCCGGCUUCCCCAUCAUUCCGCCCAGCUCAGUGACUAAUCCUUUCUUCCCGGCCCAUGAGAAAUCGCUGUCCUCACCAAAACCCCAACUCCUGCCAGCGCCCUGGUGUUGAAGAGGAACAGCUAUGCGCCCCUGCCCCACAGUGGAUUGGCCCUGAGAUGUCCCUGCCUCAAGUGCAGCCCCAGGAGGAUGCUGGAUUCCGCUGGUGGAGGCGGCAGCCGCGGGGAACCCACGGUGCUGCUCAGGGCAGGGGCUCCAAACAUCCCAGCAGGAGAACGGAAGGCCCUGCGGUGGGGCAUUCUCAAAGCACCCAGCAUGCACGCCCCUCUGCCCCCAGCCAGCCUCUUCCGUUCUCGAUUCUCUGAGCUCAGGGCUGCUGGACUCUGAUGGGUGGAAAAUCCACUUAUACAUUUUUUCUUACUUAUACAUUGUCAUAUUUUCCAAAAUGACUAUAAUGAAACGCGUCCUUGUUCGCUUUCUUUAAAAAGCUGUAUUGUUAGAAAAGGAAGAGGAAGAGGGGGGAAAUGCAUAAGCAGCAGGGUCCAUGUGUCCCACCUCCAGCAGCCAGGUGCUCGCUCCCCAGUCCUACCCUCUGCUCCCCAAACUCUGGGCACCAACAUGCCCUCUGUGGCCACAGUGCACAGAUCCAGAAGGGCUGAGAGGGACCUGCAGGGGGACAGAGCCACACAGUCAGGGGCAGCCGGGUCCUGGCUCCGCCUGAGCUGUACGGUCAGGCAGACCUCUGACCCCCAGAGUCCAGAGUCGCACACUGCUGCUCCUCCCUCCCAGGACACCAGUGGUGGCCCUGGGCAAAGCCACAUCCAGCACCAGCAGGGGGGGGUCGUGAUUUCCCUGGCCUCGGGGCCUGUCCCUCCAUGCUCAGGGCAGGGGCUGCAUCCGGCUCAACAGGCACAGCGACCCACGUAUGGAUGGCAGGUUGAGGAUCGUGGCUGCAUCAAGCAGCCCCUUGGGGGAGCCUCGCGCAGUGCGUUCCACGUCACAAAGGCUGAGGUGAACUGACAAGUGGCCAGAGCAGACAGGGCACACAGCAGGUGUGUGGCGAGCCUGGGCUGCAGAGGACAGAGGGAAGAGCCACAGUGCAGACUCUGGUGCAGAACGCGUGGCCCAACACACAGGUGAUGAACGGCAGGCCUGAGGCGCCAUUCCCAGCCUGCAGUUCAUGCACAAGGCUCCCUCCCUGCCCAAUUGGCGGUGCCUGCGCCCCCUCA